UACGAAGGGGGCUAGCGUUGUUCGGAAUUACUGGGCGUAAAGGGCGCGUAGGCGGUCCCUCAAGUCAGGCGUGAAAGUCCUGGGCUCAACCUGGGAACUGCGCUUGAUACGGCAGAGCUAGAGGAUGGAAGAGGCUCGCGGAAUUCCCAGUGUAGAGGUGAAAUUCGUAGAUAUUCGCAAGAACACCAGUGGCGAAGGCGGCUCACUGGCCCGAUACUGACGCUGAUGCACGAAAGCGUGGGGAGCAAACAGG
rnacentral:rRNA from 1 species